rnacentral:misc_RNA from 1 species
UGGCUCUCGCAUCGAUGAAGAACGCAGCGAAAUGCGAUAAGUAAUGUGAAUUGCAGAAUUCAGUGAAUCAUCGAAUCUUUGAACGCACCUUGCACUCCUUGGUAUUCCGAGGAGUAUGCCUGUUUGAGUGUCAUGAAAUCAUCAACUUCAUAGUUUUAUUACUGUGAAGCUUGGACUUGGAAGCUGCUGGCUCUGUCGGCUCUUCUUAAAUAUAUUAGCUGCUUGUCCGUGGGUUGGCUCAGAGUGUGAUAAGUAUCUGCACUUGGUGGCUGCUCGCUUUGGAUGUGGCUUCUAAUCGUCUUCGGACAACUUUUAAGAUCUGACCUCAAAUCAGGUAGGACUACCCGCUGA